UACGGAGGGUGCAAGCGUUAUCCGGAUUCACUGGGUUUAAAGGGUGCGUAGGAGGGUAGGUAAGUCAGUGGUGAAAUCUUCGAGCUUAACUCGGAAACUGCCGUUGAUACUAUCUGUCUUGAAUAUUGUGGAGGUGAGCGGAAUAUGUCAUGUAGCGGUGAAAUGCUUAGAUAUGACAUAGAACACCAAUUGCGAAGGCAGCUCGCUACACAUAUAUCGACUCUGAGGCACGAAAGCGUGGGGAUCAAACAGG
rnacentral:rRNA from 1 species